CCUACGGGGGGCUGCAGUGGGGAAUAUUGGGCAAUGGGCGCAAGCCUGACCCAGCAACGCCGCGUGAAGGAAGAAGGCUUUCGGGUUGUAAACUUCUUUUCUCAGGGACGAAGCAAGUGACGGUACCUGAGGAAUAAGCCACGGCUAACUACGUGCCAGCAGCCGCGGUAAUACGUAGGUGGCAAGCGUUAUCCGGAUUUACUGGGUGUAAAGGGCGUGUAGGCGGGACUGCAAGUCAGAUGUGAAAACCAUGGGCUCAACCUAUGGCCUGCAUUUGAAACUGUAGUUCUUGAGUGCUGGAGAGGCAGACGGAAUUCCUAGUGUAGCGGUGAAAUGCGUAGAUAUUAGGAGGAACACCAGUGGCGAAGGCGGUCUGCUGGACAGCAACUGACGCUGAGGCGCGAAAGCGUGGGGAGCAAACAGGAUUAGAUACCCGGGUAGUC
rnacentral:rRNA from 1 species